rnacentral:rRNA from 1 species
UACGGAGGGGGGCUAGCGUUGUCCGGAAUUACUGGGCGUAAAGCGCGCGUAGGUGGUCCACCAAGUCGGGGGUGAAAGCCCUGGGCUCAACCCGGGAAUUGCGCUUGAGACUGGUGUGCUUGAGUACGGGAGAGGAUAGUGGAAUUCCCAGUGUAGAGGUGAAAUGCGUAGAGAUUUGGUGGAACACCGGUGGCGAAGGCGGCUAUCUGGCCCGGUACUGACGCUGAGGUGCGAAAGCGUGGGGAGCAAACAGG